GACGGAGGAUGCAAGCGUUAUCCGGAAUUAUUGGGCGUAAAGCGUCCGCAGGUGGCUGUUCAAGUCUGCUGUCAAAGCGCAGAGCUUAACUCUGUACAGGCGGUGGAAACUGAAGAGCUAGAGUAUGGUAGGGGUAGAGGGAAUUCCCGGUGUAGCGGUGAAAUGCGUAGAUAUCGGGAAGAACACCAGUGGCGAAAGCGGCUCACUGGCCCGGUACUGACGCUGAGGUGCGAAAGCGUGGGGAGCAAACAGG
rnacentral:rRNA from 1 species